UUAAAGAACCUCAGACUGCAGUGCCAUAGUUCUAAUGAUGUUUCUACAAGAACACUGUAGAAGCAUGAGUCUCUUUUUUGCAGACAUGUUACCUGUCAAUCCUCUGUUACAAUUUUGGAGUGGAAACCUACGAAUGGAAGAGGUAUGAACAGAGCUCCUUCUGGCUCAGCCAGAGUUAUGACAUUGGGAAGAUGGACACGAAGCAUUCUGUUGGCAAAGAAAUGCAGAUCUCUGAUUUUCCUUGCUACCCUUCUGUUCUC
rnacentral:lncRNA from 1 species